GACGAACCGUGCAAACGUUAUUCGGAAUCACUGGGCUUAAAGCGCGUGUAGGCGGAUGGGAACGUCGGUUACUGAAAGCCCCCGGCUCAACCGGGGAAGUGGUGCCGAAACGACCCGUCUGGAGGGACGUAGGGGGACCUGGAACUUCCGGUGGAGCGGUGAAAUGCGUUGAGAUCGGAAGGAACGCCCGUGGCGAAAGCGAGGUCCUGGACGUCUGCUGACGCUGAGACGCGAAAGCUAGGGGAGCAAACGGG
rnacentral:rRNA from 1 species